GAAGUGGGUGUCACUUCAGAAUUAUGCAGAGACUCAUAGAAGGCCUACUUGUGCCCUCUCUUAGAUGUUCAUGGGGGAUCUGGUGAGAGACGGGUAGGAGGCAUUCUGUCAUUCCAUACAACGAGAAAAGAAUCAAUAGGAUGGAUAAACAACAAGGUCCUAUUGUAGAGCACAGGUCCUGAUGAAAUCCACAUACCUUACUGUCAACCGAAGUGAUACUGAUUGACAGGGGAAAGAACUUCAGCUGGCAAGAAACAGGACGUCAUUGUGGAUUGAGGAAGUUUACCCCCAAAUUUUGAGGCUGAGAUGGAAAACGGCAAUUGUCUUCCAUGUGAUCACCCAAGAAUCCUGUUAUCUCAGUCUCAGGACUCCAUCAUCUUCACCUGUGCCAUGAUUGCUGCAGCAGCAGGAGAAAAUGCUGGGGCACUUUCCUGGACAAUUCAACUCUUCCACUCCCAAUUCAUCUACCAGAGCUAGGCACAUGUACUAACUGCAAGGGAAGAAGGACUGUGCAUUGCAAGUCCCACAAAUCUGUACCAUACAUAUUUAAGAUUGUUGGUGUUUCAGACUGGGAUUUUUAUGACUAUUUUACUAAAAUUAUUUCUAUAAACAAAUACUCCUUCAGCUAGCAAAAGUGUAUCACUUUAAUUUCCACCAUUUCUGAUGAAGACGUAUUAAAG
ensembl:lncRNA